rnacentral:lncRNA from 1 species
UGCUUGGGAUAUACCCAAGAAGAGAUUUUAAUAUAUCGUUGGGCCCCACACCUAGGUGAUGUGACUCUCCUGCAUGGGCUUUGCCUGCAGGGGUAUGAUGACAUAUCUUUUCUUUCAUCACCCAGGUGAUGCUACUCUCUACUUAUGGCUGGGCCUUGACAAAAAGAGGGAUUGGGACAUAUCCCUGGACGCUGAACCUAAGAGGUGGAGGUUGCCGUGGUGACAGAGUGAGACUUCGCCAAAACAAAACAAAAAAAACAACAACAAAAGGGGGUACUUUCUGCCCACAAAUGAGAUUGUGGCAUCUAACCCUAAGGUGAUGUUACUUCUUUGCUCUGGCUGUGCCCUUAGAAAACACUGAAACAUACUGCUGGGUCCAGCACCAAGAUUAUGUGAGUUUUCUGCCUGAACCCUGACCACAGGAAGCAUUGUAACAUAUCUCUUGACCCAUUGCAAUUUCUCCUAUGGGCAAAGCCCAGG